AUGGGAAACAUUACAGAAUGGGCACGAAGGCGCGUCCCUCAUUACCCCGUGUUACAGCCAAGUGUCUGCCUCCUGGGGAAGGAUCUGUUCUGUGGGGAGACUAGACGUUGAUGAUUUCCGGAUGUGUGAAGGGAAAUGCCCUCCGAGAAGCGUGGCUUAGGCCGGAGCACGUCAGACGAGAGUUAGUGUGGCAUGGAGUUUCCACAGUGCCCCUCAGACCUGCUACUUCUCUCCUCUCCCCACCCCUGGCCCUGACUCUUACCAAGGGAGGAAAGUUCAGCUCCAGUUGAGCCCCGCGCAGGGCUGUGGAUCUCUAGGGCAGGUGCCACCUUCGCCUGAAUAGGCUGUGUCAGAGGAGGGUCUGGCCGUACUUGAGCUGUGAGAGAUGCUCUCAGACAUCCAGCAUCCUGAAAACCCAGGUGCUGAAGGUUCCUCCUCCACCGUCCUGCGGGGAAGGGGGUCUUAUCCUGCUUCCCCUCAACCCGAGCUGACUUUUGUCUGUUCUGUACACCUAGUUUUUAAAACCAAUUAUUGUUAAUCAUCUAGCAGACAAACACCAUAAGGUGAGAGCCUGGGAGGGUAGAUGGGGCUGUGGAGGAUAGUUUCCUGAAUAAGUGUUCAGAUUCCUGUUUUGCCGUCAUUUGACCCAAGGCCUCCAGAUAAUUGAAAUAUUGUCAGGAAGACACCCAUUUUGUAUCUGAGGUUUUUUUUCAUGUUUGUUUUUGUUUUUGUUUUUGUUUUGUUUUAAAGGAAUGGGUGCAAACUUCUAACCAGGGACCUGACAAAAGAGAAGGAUUUCUUUUCAAAGUGAAGGUCGGGGAUGGUUGGCAUUUGCCAUCUGUGACUAGCAGGGACCCAGGCUGCUUCCCUCCUGCUGCCCGACUCCUGCCCCUCCAGCUCCUGUCCCUCCAGCUCCUGCCCCUCCAGCUCCUGCCCCUCCAGCUCUUGCCCCUCCAGCUCCUGCCCCUCCAGCUCUUGCCCCUGUUCCCACCAGCAGGAAGAGGAGCGGGAAGGUGCCUUUUCCCCUUUAAGGGGAUGAGAUUAAUGAGGAUGGGGACCGCUGCAGAACUGUAAGCCCCCCAGGGGCUGACGGAAGCCUGGGAACACCCGAGACACCAGAGUCGCUGCUGCCCUGGGUGGAAGGAUACCUGCCCUGGAAGAUGGGAAACGCAAUAAGGAGAAAGUACCAAGGUACGUGACGCUGUGAAAACGGAGAUGUUUUAAUUAAAUUAACAAUUAAAAUCAUUUUAAU
rnacentral:lncRNA from 1 species